rnacentral:lncRNA from 1 species
AUGUGUCCGCACGUGAUGAAAACUAUGUUGGUAGGGACAUCUGAGAGGCUGAUGAGUACCAACAUAUCUGAGCUGGACAUGGAGCAGAGUAGGGAGGCAGGCAGGCAUAUGGAGUGGCUGAGGCACCACGUGCUCAGCGCACCUGGGCUGCUGGAUCCACCCGCUGGCUGCAGUCAGUUGGAACAGUUCAGUGGUUCUGACCUGUUCCUGUGUAAGAUGAAUCGAUUACACUCCUCUCUCUCCUGUGGCUUCAAAAUAGGCCUGCUGCUGAAUAUGAAGAGUUGA